rnacentral:rRNA from 1 species
GGGUGCGAUCAUACCAGUGUUAAUGCACCGGAUCCCAUCAGAACUCCGCAGUUAAGCGUGCUUGGGCUAGAAUAGUACUGGAAUGGGUGACCUCCUGGGAAGUCCUAGUGUUGCACCCU